GACCGCGUAGCGCAGUUGGAAGAGCAUUGGGCUAGUAUUCUAAAGGUCGUAGGUUCGAAUCCCACCGUGGCCG
rnacentral:tRNA from 1 species